UACGUAGUGUGCAAGCGUUGUCCGGAAUUAUUGGGCGUAAAGAGCUCGUAGGCGGCUUGUCGCGUCGGAUGUGAAAGCCCGGGGCUUAACUCCGGGUCUGCAUUCGAUACGGGCAGGCUAGAGUUCGGUAGGGGAGAUCGGAAUUCCUGGUGUAGCGGUGAAAUGCGCAGAUAUCAGGAGGAACACCGGUGGCGAAGGCGGAUCUCUGGGCCGAUACUGACGCUGAGGAGCGAAAGCGUGGGGAGCGAACAGG
rnacentral:rRNA from 1 species